UAGUGGUGUCAUGGUCAUUAUUGACUGUUCGUAUGAACCCUGGAAUAACAUUGCAACUUGUGUGGGGUUCAUAUAACGGUCAACAGAAACCCUUGACAUCAAAGA
rnacentral:pre_miRNA from 2 species